UACGUAGGCAGCGAGCGUUGUUCGGAAUUACUGGGCGUAAAGGGCGCGUAGGCGGUUCGAUAAGUCCCGUGUGAAAUCCCUCGGCUCAACUGAGGAAUGGCACGGGAAACUGACGGGCUUGAGUUCGGGAGAGGGAAGCGGAAUUCCGGGUGUAGCGGUGAAAUGCGUAGAUAUCCGGAAGAACACCAGUGGCGAAGGCGGUCUGCUGGGCAGUUGCUGACACUGAGGCGCGACAGCGUGGGGAGCAAACAGG
rnacentral:rRNA from 1 species